rnacentral:rRNA from 1 species
UACUUAGGGGGCGAGCGUUGUCCGGAGUUACUGGGCGUAAAGGGCACGCAGGCGGUGCGGCGCGUUUCGCGUGACAGCGGAGGGCUUAACUCUCCGAGGAUGCGAAAGACGGCGGCACUUGAGGGCCAGAGAGGGACACGGAAUUCCGGGUGGAGUGGUGAAAUGCGUAGAGAUCCGGAGGAACACCGAAGGCGAAGGCAGUGUCCUGGCUGGUGACUGACGCUGAGGUGCGAAAGCUAGGGGAGCGAACGGG